rnacentral:lncRNA from 1 species
GCUAAGAAAAGGAUAAGUGGCUGCCAAGUGUUGGUGCCCACUUUCCUUUCCUUCUUUAGGGUGAUUACAUUCCAUUCGGGCUGAUUUAUCUUGGAAAGAAAAUCAAAAUAAAAGGAAGAAUUAUUAUAUGAUAAUAUUCAUCCUUUUAAACUCUGAUUAGAUUUGAAUUUGAACUUAUGAAUGGGUUCUAUUUAAGAGAUUUCUUCUUAGGUUCAAGGGUAACAUGAAAAUCUAAUUUUCGUACACCCUCCUCUUGUCUUCACGCCUACUCACCCUCUCCACUCUAUCCAACACUCAUGUUGGGUGACUACAUUCCCACAUACCUAAAGUUCUUAGGCAAAUCCCUCUUGUGCCAAGAAAGUCUCAAGGGUUG